AUACAUGCAAGUCGAGCGGACAGAUGGGAGCUUGCUCCCUGAUGUUAGCGGCGGACGGGUGAGUAACACGUGGGUAACCUGCCUGUAAGACUGGGAUAACUCCGGGAAACCGGGGCUAAUACCGGAUGCUUGUUUGAACCGCAUGGUUCAAACAUAAAAGGUGGCUUCGGCUACCACUUACAGAUGGACCCGCGGCGCAUUAGCUAGUUGGUGAGGUAACGGCUCACCAAGGCAACGAUGCGUAGCCGACCUGAGAGGGUGAUCGGCCACACUGGGACUGAGACACGGCCCAGACUCCUACGGGAGGCAGCAGUAGGGAAUCUUCCGCAAUGGACGAAAGUCUGACGGAGCAACGCCGCGUGAGUGAUGAAGGUUUUCGGAUCGUAAAGCUCUGUUGUUAGGGAAGAACAAGUACCGUUCGAAUAGGGCGGUACCUUGACGGUACCUAACCAGAAAGCCACGGCUAACUACGUGCCAGCAGCCGCGGUAAUACGUAGGUGGCAAGCGUUGUCCGGAAUUAUUGGGCGUAAAGGGCUCGCAGGCGGUUCCUUAAGUCUGAUGUGAAAGCCCCCGGCUCAACCGGGGAGGGUCAUUGGAAACUGGGGAACUUGAGUGCAGAAGAGGAGAGUGGAAUUCCACGUGUAGCGGUGAAAUGCGUAGAGAUGUGGAGGAACACCAGUGGCGAAGGCGACUCUCUGGUCUGUAACUGACGCU
rnacentral:rRNA from 1 species